UUGGUUAAACAUGUGAUUUGAUCGCAUGCAAUUUCCGGAAGUGGAUGGCGCAAAUGUAGAUGCUGCGCAUGCGUAAAGAAAACAGAUGGCGGCAAGUUUGGUUGUCUGAGCAGGUAUCUGGAGGGAAGCUAUCCAAAGCACGUUGCUGAUUUAACAUCUUUAUGGAUGAAUAUUAUACAAGAGACCUCUGAAAAUUAUAUUAUUCCAGCGUAUUUUUAAGUCUGGUUUUAACUAAAUCUUUCAACUAAGGUAAGAGAGUUCUGGGAAUGUGGCAAUGUACAGUCUCUGGCACAGAGGUAUUCACCAGAUUUAUCAUCAGAAUGAUUAUCAUACAGUGAUAUUAAUAAUGAUGAAGAUUUUUCUAAGGCAAUUAUUCAUAAACCUCCGCAUCAACUCCAGUGAAGCAGAUAAAUGCUGAAUUCAUGUGGAUAACAACAGUGCUGCUUCUGUCAAUGUUCUUGGACGCCACGAGACACCGUGUGUGUAAAUCUGUAUCAGGUUUUCAACAGCGAAUGAGGGGCCUCCGGACAGAAGAUAUCUCGUGUUAUGCCAACUGCAGAAAAGUGUGAUGACAUACACAUCAAACGAGACCAUCAUAAACAAAUUUGUGUGUACCUCAAUAAGGACAUUACAACACCCAUUCAAGAAUUCAAGCAACCCUAAACAAUCUGAGAGGAUUUUCAGUGGUCAUUCUGGGGCUUUAUGUAAUCCAUAAAGAAGGUGCAUCUGAGGAAGAACCAGCAAAUAUUGGAGUAGUUAUAGAGGGCAUGAUGCUGCUACAUCACUUGAAGAGUAUUUCCUUUGGAAUAGUUGUGUUGUUUGUACUGAUCUACGCCCUCAAUUUAAGCUACUCUCACAUUUGAAAGCCUAAAGAAGAUACUGAUAAAUUUGGAGGGCAGCAAGCCAUUCGAGAAUUUAAAUGUUAAUGUAAAUGAGGAAUUUACUGCUUCCCCUGAUGUUUCCAACGACUGGAAAUACAUAAAAAAACUCAAACUUACAGGGAUGGGACAUGAAUAUCCUGAAAGACAUUUUCUAUGAACUGAUGACACUGAUGCUAGAGAAUGCACCUGGGAUACCUUCCUUCUUUGUGUAUCUCUAAUACUCUUACAAAGUGUACAAAAUGUGUAAACUGUUGUGUGCUGUUGACCCAUUCUAGAAAC